rnacentral:rRNA from 1 species
GACGAACGCUGGCGGUGUGCUUCACACAUGCAAGUCGAACGAGUGACUGCUUUGUAGCAAUACAAAGUAGAAGCUAGUGGCGGACGGGUGAGUAACGCGUAGGAAUCUGCCUUUGAGUGGGGGAUAGCAGACCGAAAGGUCUAUUAAUACCGCAUACGUAUAUACUUCGACAGUUGUAUAUAUAAAAGAGCAAUCUGCUCAUAGAUGAGCCUGCGUCCGAUUAGCUAGUUGGUAGUGUAAUAGACUACCAAGGCGACGAUCGGUAGGUGGUCUGAGAGGAUGAUCACCCACAAUGGAACUGAGACACGGUCCAUACUCCUACGGGAGCAGCAGUGGGGAAUUUUGUGCAAUGGGGAAACCCUGACACAGCGACACCGCGUGAGCGAAGAAGCCCUUCGGGGUGUAAAGCUCUGUCGGCUGGGACGAAAAAUAGACGGUACCAGCAGAGGAAGCAUCGGCUAAC